UACGUAGGGUGCGAGCGUUAAUCGGAAUUACUGGGCGGAAAGCGUGCGCAGGCGGUUCGUUGUGUCGGCGGUGAAAGCCCCGGGCUUAACCUGGGAAUGGCCGUUGAAACUGGCGAACUGGAGUGUGGCAGAGGGGGGUGGAAUUCCGCGUGUAGCAGUGAAAUGCGUAGAGAUGCGGAGGAACACCGAUGGCGAAGGCAGCCCCCUGGGCUAACACUGACGCUCAGGCACGAAAGCGUGGGGAGCAAACAGG
rnacentral:rRNA from 1 species